UGAAAAGCACUUUGGAAAGAGAGUUAAAAAGGCCGCGAAACCGUUGGGAGGGAAACGCAUGCAGCCGGACUGGCCCGCGUCGAGUUCAGGGGGCCGCCGGUCGCCCCGCUCGUCGUCGACACCCUCGCGGGUCGACGUCUGGGUGGCGGCGUCGGGCUCCCCUGCACUCUCGGCGACUGGGGCCGGCCAAGUGCGGCGGAUUCCGGGCGAAGAGCGCCGUCGGGCAGGUAGCGCAGCCGUCUGUUGGCGGAGGCGAACUUACAGCCGGCGGUGCGGAGCGCUCGGCGUCCGCCGAGGAGAGCGGUGGCAGUUCCACCCGUGCAGCGCAGGUCCGCCUCGGCGGGCCGGGGCGCUCUCGUCCGUUCGGCGACCCGACCGCGUCACUGCACGCAGUGUCCGGCCGAGGUCGUUCCGUCCGGGAGGGAGGCCGUCCCACGCCUUGCGCUUCGGUAGCUU
rnacentral:rRNA from 1 species